rnacentral:rRNA from 1 species
AUUGAACGCUGGCGGAAUGCUUUACACAUGCAAGUCGAACGGUAGAGGGGGCAACCCCUCGAGAGUGGCGAACGGGUGAGUAAUAUAUCGGAACGUGCCCAGUCGUGGGGGAUAACGUAGCGAAAGUUACGCUAAUACCGCAUACGAUCUAAGGAUGAAAGCGGGGGAUCGCAAGACCUCGCGCGAGUGGAGCGGCCGAUAUCAGAUUAGGUAGUUGGUGGGGUAAAGGCUCACCAAGCCAACGAUCUGUAGUUGGUCUGAGAGGACGACCAGCCACACUGGAACUGAGACACGGUCCAGACUCCUACGGGAGGCAGCAGUGGGGAAUUUUGGACAAUGGACGCAAGUCUGAUCCAGCCAUUCCGCGUGCAGGAUGAAGGCCCUCGGGUUGUAAACUGCUUUUGUACGGAACGAAAAGGUCUCUCUUAAUACGGGGGACUCAUGACGGUACCGUAAGAAUAAGCACCGGCUAACUACGUGCCAGCAGCCGCCGUAA